GUAAACUAAAGGUGAUUUCUACAUUUGAAAAACUGGAUUUCAUACAUCAUCACAGUUAGUUACAAGCUACAAAAGUAUCAUGAAGGCAGGUAUAUAUUCCUGCUAACUUAGCCUAUAUUGAUAAGUAAAAUAUAUGUGCAUGGUGAACAAAUGCAUAAAAUCCCUCACAACCCAAGGACAUGUAUUAACAACUACUUAGGCUUACAAUAUCAUAUAUACCUGAAGGAAGUGACAUUUACUCAAAAAUUUAUGCUUAUAAUGGAGAACCAUAGGAGUGAUAUACCAUGUCUUUUGUCGAAUUGUACUCUUCAUGGAAAUUUACAAACAAAUUAUGAUUUAAAACCUUUUUUUACUAUAAUAUGCUAUGACAAUUUUACCAUUAAGCCCUUGAUUGAGCUCCAUUCUUUUGAAAAAGUGUAUUUUGCAAUAGUAUUUUAACAUCAUUUCAACCACACAUUCUUUAAUAAAAUAAUAUUAAAUGCAAAUCCAAAAUUUUUCUUUAUUUUUUAACUGCACAUUUCUCAUCAAUACACUGUUCAAAGAUUCAUUCUCUCCCCCAAAAUGGGUCUCAAACAACGGCUAAGUUCAUUACCUACUAUAAAGAGGGUACUUACUUUUGUCUUCUAAAUUUUAUAGACCAUUAAGUUCACCACCUAUUAUAAAGAGGUACUCGGUUAUAAUAGUUUGUCUUCUAAAAUUGAACUUCUUCAAUGUCAAACAUUUUCCUAUAAUUAAAAUACACAAACUGUGUAUUUUGUUUCAUUAUUUAGUAGACACCUAUUGUUAAUUUAAGUUUCAAAAAGGAGCAAGAGAUAUCAAAUAUUAUAAGACAUUUCGGCAGCUCAUGCAAUCAAGGAUUAAACAAUCGUUAGUUAGAAGAAAAGUAUUAGGACAAGCAAGCAAAUUAAUCAUCACAUAAUGUAUUAGAGGAAGUAAACAAAUUAAAUUACCUGAGGGGCUUUGGCUUGUCAUUUGUUGAGAAAGUAAUUUCAUGCAUAGGCCCACAUAAUCGUCAAUUCAAAAAAGGAAGCUACAGAAUGCAUAAUGUUAAGGUAUGCUAACAUGUUUUCAGUCUUGAAAGAAACGAUGACAUUAUUUUGUUAGCGAUAAGUUAAAAAGACACUCAAAUAAAUUGAAAAAGAUUGAUCUUUAUCAGCUUCCAAAGUCAUCUCAAUAUAAUUUUAUUCUUCUUUCAGAAUUAUAUAAUUACAUAAUUUUCUAGUCAUAUUAAAACAGAAGGAAAUAAAUAGAUAUAGUAACACAUUGUCCAGAAGAAAAAUAAAACAGUGAGUAAAUUGAAAGUUAAAAAGACCAAUGGGUGGCUAGCAUACCAAUAUUCAAUUUAGAUCUAAAAUUAAAACAGUGAAUAAAUUGAAAGCAAAAAGACCAAUUGGUGCUAGCAUAUCAAUAUUCAAUUUAGAUCUAAUUAGAUACAUGGGCAUAAAUAUGCCUAUAUUUUUCUUUUCCAUAUUUUGCAACUGCAAGAGGCAGUGAGGCUAUCUGCUAAGGCCUGAUGCUAUAUGCUUGCUCAAUACAGGAUCUGUGAUAGGGCCCAACACUUGGCCCCAUUUGACCCCCCAUUAUUUGAAAUUUUAAAGGUUAGAAAAGUGUUUUUUUUUUUUUUUUUUCCCCUUAAGAAUGUGUAGUUAAAAAAGAAGAAAAAAUUUUGGGAUUAAGCGUAAUAUUAUUUUAUUGAAGAAUAUGUAAUUGAUAAGAAGAGAGAAAAUUGAAUUAUAAUUUAAUGUGGGCCAAACAAAGGCUAAAUGCAGUAGAUGUAAUGAUCAGAUAUCAAUUUUACCAUGAUAUUGAAUGAUCCAACUCUUACAAUGUAAAGUCACCUUCUUUAGCCUAGAUAUCAAAUCUGAUACAGUGGAGGCGUGAGAUGAACACCUCUAUGAAUAGACUUGUUGAUUUCAACUGGUCAACUCCUCAUCGUUUCCCUAACCCAAAUAGAAGGUUGUAGAGACUGUAGAUGCUCUUUCGACAUGUGAAACUCGAAAACAAGAAAAACAGCUAAAAUCUUUGGGAAAAAAUCCUUCUUCUAAGAAAACAAAAUUUUAAAAGUUCUCCAGAUUGUGGUGGCAAAGGAUGAAGGUAGAAAGUGCAAAAUUGGUGGUCAUGGCAUGAGUUUUAUAAAGUAUUUAUUCACAAUAAUGAAUACUAAUGGUACGUCCAAACACGGACUAUUUUCUCCAUCUUUUUUACCACCUUUUCUUUUCUAUUAGCUGAUGGAAUGACAACGAGUGAUGGUAGUGCUUACCUCUUUAAUGUAAUCCAAUAAUCAAAAUUCUAUAAAUUUUGGCACUAUUUUAAAAACAUAAAUAUUGUCAAGAGCCCUUUGGGAGCAAAGUGCAACAGUGGUGAUCGAGAUGUAGUAGUGUAGUUGGUUCCAUGGUUCGUUGGUUGAGUUUAAACCUUCCAAUCACAUCAAUUAUUAUUCUUAACCAACAGCUAUUAGGUAUUACGGAAGUUGAAGUAUUACUAAAAAGCUAGACAUGUUUCCUGAAGGGACGUGAAAUUUAGACACACUUGUUUCCUUCUUAUGGGACAAAAGGAAAAUACCCCACAAAAAGGAGUUCUCAGAUCACAAGAUUCAACACUUAACACUAAAGUUCCCUUGAACAUUCGCCCAAGUAUUCCAUAGGAUGAUGAACAUAUUAUCUAAGCAGAAGAGUCACUUGAAACACCUACAAGCAGUGUAUAAGAACUAUGCUUCUAGGCCACCAUCAUCUAAUGAAGCUAAAGUUGGCGUCCUAUUACAUUCUCUAGCCAUAGGCAUCAAUCGAAAAGUCAAUACCUUGGGGAUCUUAGAACAUAUUCUAAAUGUACAUAUCCAGAGAUAGGAUAACCAAAAUUCAUGACUAACUGACCAAAACAAUCACUAAUUAUUAGAAUUUAGACAGACUGUGUAAAUAAAAUUCAUGGUUGUAUUCCGAACAAAAAAAAUAUGUGAUUUUUUGUAUUUAAAAAAUCAGACGAAACAUGUCAUGCAUUUACCAAUUAUCAUGUACGAAGUUCAUUAUUAUUCAGUAAUGACCUGAACUUCUUUCAUAGCUCAUGAUAGGGUCUCUGACAUAUUGUCCUACUGAGAUUCCAGACUUCUCUACCUGGUCGUGCCAAGUGAGUAUUUAUAUAGGGUGUGCUUCCAUGUUAAAGACCAACUCGUCCAAUAAAUUGACUGAAGGAGGUGAGAAAAGAAUUUAGAGAUUGUCUCCGCGAGGAAAAACUUCGCAUCAUAUUGUUUUCUACACCAGUAUUAACCCGAGAACAACAGCAAUGACGUCAGUGAUGAUAAAAUGGUUUAAACAUGCCCAACAGUCCUGCUCCCCAUCCUGAAAACCUUUACGAGAACAUAAGUUAAGAUAUGAUUACGUCCUUUAAUCCAACUUAUAUUGUCUCUGAGUUUAUUUCAAAUGCUUGAAAGAUAUUCCAUCCCCACUCCUGAUAUGUCUUGUUACCAGUCAAACGCUAGAGAUAAAAGAGUGAUUCAACACACUCGGGCCUCAAUGUGUUCUAUGAUGUUUCCACACACAUCCUGAAAAUCGUACAACCAUAGAAACAAAAAAAAAAAAAAGGCAAGAUCCUUACUUCGGAGUUAAGACCUAGUUUUAUAAGUACUGGAACCAAAUAAGCAAAAAGACUACCUGUCCUGAAUGGAAAAAGUAGUUCUCUCCAUCCAAUUUCACAAGCAUUGAUUGGUAUAAAUUAUAACAUGUCCAAGCAAGCUUCAUGAGGAGGUCAAAGUCAUUCCCUCAAAGUAAAUAAUUACCCACUCUGUAAGGCACUUUAAAUAUGAAUCUUAAAAUAUUUGUAUAAUAUCUCUUUUGGCAACAAUAAGAACUUCCUAGCCUCAUCAGGACCAUAGCCAGUAGAUCCUAAUGCUAACAUACCUGGAACAAAACAAGCAAUUUCAUCCAUCUACACAUAUAACAAAUGAUAAAAAAAUCAUUCUUCUAUGAAUUUUGUUUUCAGCAGUAAUUUUACCCAUUAGCACUAUAUAUCACCUUAUCUAUUAAAGAAUUCCCAAUCUUCGCACAAAGAUAUGCAAAAUUAGAGGGGAUAGUUCUCCAAACCAAGCUUUGAAGACCUUUCAUUGAAGUCUUCUACAUUUCUCUGUUAGAUACAGUCGUUAAUUAGAAAAUUACAAGAAAGGAAUAAUAUGAGAACAUUUGAAUUACAACUAUAGAAAAAUAGAAGUCAAAUAACCAACAAACACCAAGCUAUACUAAAAUGGAUAAAAAUAUAACAAUAAUAGCAUAAAGAUUAAAGAAAUACUAGACCUUCCUCGGUCAUGUAUGAAUCUAUGGCAUGUGGUUUUUUUUAUUUAUGAGGAUAGUAACAAAAAUAGCUGCUCACCUAUAAUGCCUUACCAUGGUUGUUUUGUUUCCUUGGAUCCGGAGUAGAUAUUCAUAGAAGCUGCAAUAUAUUUUUCCUUCUAUUUAAGCUGUGCACCUUAGACAACAAAGAAUAGCAAGCUCUAGCCACAGUAUUGUUGCACUGCACACAACUAUCAUCAAUACAGUGGAGAAAAGCAUCCAUAUCCCCCAUGAUUAGCGACUCUCGAACAGGGGGAGAAGCACAUCGACUCGGCGGCAGCCGACAGCAGGUCACAGCGUAGUGGAGAGAGCACAGAGCAGCCAGCGAGGACGAAGCAUAGUAGCCUAUAGGGUUUGCUGUCGAUUUAGGAAAUUAGAAUUGGUAAUGGCUGG
rnacentral:lncRNA from 1 species